UGCAGCUGCGUCAAAUUCAGUCCUCAUCCAGCCCGUGCUGGGGACUGGCCAAACAGCUGCCACAGCAACUUCUGCAGCUCCUGAGCCCCACCUCCCUUUCCCUGGGCUCUGGGGAUAAAUAAAUGCUGCAGACACCA
rnacentral:snoRNA from 1 species